rnacentral:rRNA from 1 species
CCUACGGGUGGCUGCAGUGGGGAAUAUUGCACAAUGGGCGCAAGCCUGAUGCAGCCAUGCCGCGUGUGUGAAGAAGGCCUUCGGGUUGUAAAGCACUUUCAGCGGGGAGGAAGGCGUUAAGGUUAAUAACCUUGGCGAUUGACGUUACCCGCAGAAGAAGCACCGGCUAACUCCGUGCCAGCAGCCGCGGUAGUACGGAGGGUGCAAGCGUUAAUCGGAAUUACUGGGCGUAAAGCGCACGCAGGCGGUCUGUCAAGUCGGAUGUGAAAUCCCCGGGCUCAACCGGGGAACUGCAUUCGAAACUGGCAGGCUAGAGUCUUGUAGAGGGGGGUAGAAUUCCAGGUGUAGCGGUGAAAUGCGUAGAGAUCUGGAGGAAUACCGGUGGCGAAGGCGGCCCCCUGGACAAAGACUGACGCUCAGGUGCGAAAGCGUGGGGAGCGAACAGGAUUAGAUACCCCGGUAGUC